UACGUAGGGUGCAAGCGUUUAAUCGGAAUUACUGGGCGUAAAGCGUGCGCAGGCGGCUUUGCAAGACAGAUGUGAAAUCCCCCGGGCUUAACCUGGGAACUGCAUUUGUGACUGCAUGGCUAGAGUGCGGCAGAGGGGGAUGGAAUUCCGCGUGUAGCAGUGAAAUGCGUAGAUAUGCGGAGGAACACCGAUGGCGAAGGCAAUCCCCUGGGCCUGCACUGACGCUCAUGCACGAAAGCGUGGGGAGCAAACAGG
rnacentral:rRNA from 1 species